AUGUCUAAUCCUGCAUCGGUUCAAAGAGAAAAAAGGCAAGGCUUUGAAUCUAUGAGCCUUUUCCUCCAAUGUAUAAUAAAGGGAAGGAAUAAAUUGAUGCCUGCUUUGUUCUUCCUUGGAUUUGCUGCAAGAGAAAAAAGGCAAGGCUUUGAAUCUAUGAGCCUUUUCCUCCAAUGUAUAAUAAAGAGAAGGAAUAAAUUGAUGCCUGCUUUGUUCUUCCUUGGAUUUGCUGCAACUUCAAGCAUCAGUCCCUUUGAAUCGCUUUCUGCAGUGUAUCAAUCUAGCUCUAUACUUCCUCCAAAUCACUUUUCUGCAACACUGGUCUUAGAAUGUAACAUGAGCAAAAGGAGCAAGGUGUUGAAUUCAUGUAAAAUCAUUUCUUGUCAGAUUCUAGGGUCGGAUUGCCUCAUGUGA
rnacentral:rRNA from 1 species